GUGACAUGAAACUAACUGUCCUUCAGUAUCAAGGGGUUUUAGGCUAGCUCAAGUCCUUUUCAGGGCUGAGACCGUUUCCCAAGUAGUCGUAGACCAAAGCUACUGACUACUCAUCACUCAGGGUCGGCAUUACUACUAGGCAGAUUCAAGGGAGACUUUCAUCACACAGAAAAAACACGAUUUCGAUUCCACUUCAGCACUUUAUUGGGUGAUUUGUUUGGUGUGGAUGUGGGUUGUGUGAAGUGUAGGUGGUUUGGGGCACUCUUACCGCGCAGCUCAGCUGGUUCUCGUGCCGGAUGGUCGCCGCCGGAGGAGCUCCUUCGCUCACACUCCGCGGCUAGAACUGUCCCGCUCGUGGGGAGGGGGGAGGGGGGCUUGUUCUGCUGGCUGACGGUGGCUUGUUGUUCUGCGCUGCGGUUGUCCGGUCUUCGGCGCCGGAUGCAGCGAUUCUGUGGCCUUCACGGCCGGUACGGUGGUCUCCGGACUUCGUGCCGGGUCGGUUGGACGCACAGCGGGCGUUGCUGGCUUCGUCGGGCAGGCUUCUUCCCUCGUUGGCGAAUCGGCAGCCCCAGAGUCCACUGAUUCGGGCUGCCGAGAGGGGACUCUCCUUAACGAUUAAGGCCAGCGGCCUGAGAGCUGUCGUCCUUGGCGUUGAUGGCGCGGGGAGGCGCCAGACGACGGGGGUGGUCCUACUACGUUUAGACGUGGGAAGCUACCAACAUGGGAUUCACGCAACCCAGGCCGACCAAUCCGAAACGGACUCGCACUCGCGGAACCUCCGGGUUCCGCCGUUGUGGGGGCGCUUGACUACCGCCACUUGGAGCGCGACCAGUCCGCUCGGAAGCCUGAAUACAAGAGAGCGAUCUUCCCCAGAUCGAGCUUUCUUUUUGGUUUUCCCGAGUCCAUUUUCCCACCAAUUCCUAAUGUGUCAACAGCUGCGCUGUCAGGACACCCCACCGGGAAAUUGGUGGGCUUCAGCCUCGCAUACACUGUAAGAUUUGCCCCAUCCCACUGUCAAGUGUAGUGAGAUGGUAAUAAAAAUACUGAAGUGAAACUUUCCUUCGUCAAGAAUUGUGACCAACGGUUACACUAUCCACUACCCCGGCGAAAAAAUGUGAAUGCACGAAGUUCAUGAACAUUUUUUUAAAACGACUAGCAUUUCCAAAAUCAUCUUCGGCACUCCUCUGGUUCGUGGAUUAGCGCAAAUGGUCACGUUGUUUAUGUACAAGCCUCACUUUAGGCGAUUUUUGCAUUUCCCAGUGAUAACCAAUCACAGAUCAAUCAAAAUUAUAUACAAAAUUAAACUAAUUGGCCAAAUAAACAAAUACAAAUAAAUAAAUUAAAAAGUAGACAUGCACUACAAAUUAAAAUAAAUUAUUAAAAUGAAUCCCAAAAUAUUGGUAGACAUCUCUAUUUACAUUUCACAAAAGUGCGUUGCAACGACUUUAAAUUUUCAUGAACGAUUAACAUUUCAUCCACUUUUAGAUCACUUUCGAUCUCUCAAAGAAAUUCACCACAGGGGUUCAUUCCUGACGGGCAAACUGUUUGACAGUUCCCGAAACGUCUCUAAUCUGUCAAACUCAACAUGACGCAAUGUUUACAUUGUAAAUUAUGCAAAAGUUGAGCGAAAAGUUCAAGUUCGGUGAAACAACCGUCGAAAAGUGCACUUUUUCGACGAUAUGUUGUGGUAAGUACCAAAUAAAUUUAGCAUAACGAAGAUCUUCUUUUUCAGGGUAAAUUGACUAGUAUUGGUGUGCUCGUUUGAGCGAAAUUGACGAGGUGGAACGUCGCUGCCAGAGUCGACUUUUUCUUCAAAAAGUGACCUGCAGGAGUCCACAAAUAUCCCGGGAUUCACCGUGAUAGCCAUCUUGACGCGCAAGAUGAGCUACAGGCCUUAAUUGCCGGGCAAUCCCCUCACCGCAACACCACCAGCCGCGCUCGGACCGAGGGAAAUAACUUUUGACCCCUUGAUCGUCCGCGAACUGGCCCGUUGGGCUAUGGAUUCCCGAUGAUGAUAAUCUUCACUUUUCGGUUCUGCGGCUGAGGAGACAGGUAAUCCCGGUCAGCUGAUCUGGUCCAGGGUAAAUGGGACAUCGCCCUGUAACCCCUGGCGCCCAAAUCGGUGCCGACCGUGGCCAAGAUCUUCCUGCAGCGACAACGUACUAGGUGUUAAUUACUAGAUUUAAGAAUAAUAAAAGAAAUUUAGUGCGAAUAAAGUUUUUAGUUCGGGGCUUUCCCCUAUAACGGUGCUUGUUCUCAUUAUAGAAAGAAACAAGACUUGAAACGGUUCCAAUCGCCUACCAGGGAUGACUUCCUCAUAUGCCUGGGUCACCGGCGAACCUCCAAAUUCUCAAAUUUCAGCUUUUGGCCACCUCCCGGGCAAGACUCCGCCUGCUUCCGGUUCAUUGGUGCCUUCAAUUUAGUUUGUGGAUGGCCUCACAGGACUUACGCAUUGCCUAAUGUCUCGGCCACUUCCAACAGGUAACAUAAAGGUAAGUUCGGGUGUUUUGCCUCUCCAAUGAUGGGUCAACGGCAGUCGUGGGUUCUGGGUUUUAAUCUCUUUAAUCGAAUAAUCAUCCGUCGCCGGCCUCUCGCGAGCCGAUCGAACAGACUGCCGACCUGCGCUAGGUCGUUACUGUUAAUUAUCUCCACAACACUACUGGCUGAAGCAGAUAGCAAAACGAUCUCGACGAUCGCGAUCUCUCCUACUGUUUGUUGUUGUUGUUUUUGUGUGUGUUAGUGGAUAGUACGGUGUGUUGUUUUAAUCAGAUUGAUCGUCAAGUCCAAACACAAAAGGACGAGACAAAAUAAAUAACAAUUAUUGCUGCUGCGUUGGUUGUCGAUAAUAUCACAGAUUGGGACAAUGUUUAUCACAGAAGUUAUGUACAGGCAGCAUAAAAGUGUUCCAAAGUUGCUGCUGACCAAAAUCCACGAAUUGAGACGUGCCGAAAACGAUUUUGGAAAGCGCAAGUGAUCCUCAUUGCAUUCAGGACCGUAAUGGACCGCGGUAUAGUGCAAUUCACACUAGUUUCGCUAGGGUAAGUGGACAGUGACCAACCGAGAUUGCUCGGAUUCCUGCCACCUCCCGUUGGAAAAAUCCUUAGAUUUUUCUGCAUGAAUCAAUCAACCUUGAUCGCCGUUUGUUGCUUUUCCUGCUAGGAGCCAAUUGAAACUAACUGUCCUUCAGUAUCAAGGGGUUUUAGGCUAGCUCAAGUCCUUUUCAGGGCUGAGACCGUUUCCCAAGUAGUCGUAGACCAAAGCUACUGACUACUCAUCACUCAGGGUCGGCAUUACUACUAGGCAGAUUCAAGGGAGACUUUCAUCACACAGAAAAAACACGAUUUCGAUUCCACUUCAGCACUUUAUUGGGUGAUUUGUUUGGUGUGGAUGUGGGUUGUGUGAAGUGUAGGUGGUUUGGGGCACUCUUACCGCGCAGCUCAGCUGGUUCUCGUGCCGGAUGGUCGCCGCCGGAGGAGCUCCUUCGCUCACACUCCGCGGCUAGAACUGUCCCGCUCGUGGGGGGGGGGGGGGGCUUGUUCUGCUGGCUGACGGUGGCUUGUUGUUCUGCGCUGCGGUUGUCCGGUCUUCGGCGCCGGAUGCAGCGAUUCUGUGGCCUUCACGGCCGGUACGGUGGUCUCCGGACUUCGUGCCGGGUCGGUUGGACGCACAGCGGGCGUUGCUGGCAUCGUCGGGCAGGCUUCUUCCCUCGUUGGCGAAUCGGCAGCCCCAGAGUCCACUGAUUCGGGCUGCCGAGAGGGGACUCUCCUUAACGAUUAAGGCCAGCGGCCUGAGAGCUGUCGUCCUUGGCGUUGAUGGCGCGGGGAGGCGCCAGACGACGGGGGUGGUCCUACUACGUUUAGACGUGGGAAGCUACCAACAUGGGAUUCACGCAACCCAGGCCGACCAAUCCGAAACGGACUCGCACUCGCGGAACCUCCGGGUUCCGCCGUUGUGGGGGCGCUUGACUACCGCCACUUGGAGCGCGACCAGUCCGCUCGGAAGCCUGAAUACAAGAGAGCGAUCUUCCCCAGAUCGAGCUUUCUUUUUGGUUUUCCCGAGUCCAUUUUCCCACCAAUUCCUAAUGUGUCAACAGCUGCGCUGUCAGGACACCCCACCGGGAAAUUGGUGGGCUUCAGCCUCGCAUACACUGUAAGAUUUGCCCCAUCCCACUGUCAAGUGUAGUGAGAUGGUAAUAAAAAUACUGAAGUGAAACUUUCCUUCGUCAAGAAUUGUGACCAACGGUUACAGACAUUGGGUCUGGGAAUCUAUGACAUUUCCCCGAAACCCACAUUCCCGAAGAGACAUUUCCCCGAAUGCCACAUCUUCGAAAAGACACUUUCCCGAAAUGUCAUUUACCCGAAAAUCAUUUCCCCGAACAAUCCAUUUCCCCGAACGGCCACAUCCCCGAAUGGCGACUUCCCCUAAAAACCAUUUUCCCGAAUGGCCACUUCCCCUAAUUUUCCACAUCCCUGAAAAUCAUUUUCCCGAAUGACCAUAUCCCCGAACGGCCAUUUUCCCGAACGCCACUUC